CAAAAGUUUACUGGAGUGAGGUCAGAGGCGUCGCUAUGAGGAGACCGAACGUUUGACAAUGCUUCGUUCUAUUUCGCUUUUGAGAUUUUAAGUUCGAUAAACAUAAUUAGAUAGUUUGCUUGGAGUCGAGCUGUAAUAAUGCGGUCUGGAUUUUGGGAUGUCAGUCUUAAACAAAGGAAAUCAUUUGCCAAACUGGGGGUCGAAUACUAAGUGACGUUGUGCUAGAGCGUUGCAUGAAGUGUGCGGGACAUGUUCUCCGACAAAAUGAACUACGCAUACCAAGAGUUGCGAUGACAUGAAGGCCAUUACAGAUCUUUCUGAAGACAGCUUGCCGCCCAAUGCACCGAACGGCAUGGGAGGACCUAAGUCUAAGCAAAAAGUAAGUCAGUAAACAUCGAGCCUCACAUCCGACAUUUUAAAGUCGAUCCCUAAAAUGGAUGAUGAAUUUUCAUUACUUUACAAACAAAAUCAACUUGAGAUGAAAUGAGAUAAAUGUAGUAGAAUCUAGUAACAAUAUACAAUUUUCAAUCAAUACGAAAUAUAUUUUAAAAUUUCGAUCUAAUUGUCUAAACAUCAGUUUAAAAUAUAAUGGCGGAGCCUCAUAGGUUGCGCCCAUCCAUUCGAGACCGGCACUGAAGACACUGGAUAACAAAUAUCAAAUUCCACACUGUUAAACAAGGUCGCUUUCUAUAUUUAGCACAUCGGUAAUUCCCAUAUAUAUUACGUAAGGGAAAAUCAGCUCUUCAAAAACAGGAAUUCAAUUUCACAUAGGGUACAUAUUGUCUACAGUUAAACAUCGAACAUUAACUGUCUUCUGUUCGCUGAAAGUCUAAACAUUGAAAAGAUGUCUCAUGUGAUGGACCAAGUGAUUUUUGCUCUAUUAGAAUUUAUAUUUCUUAUAGUAUUCACAAUUAUAACCUGGUUCCUGUCGGUAACAUCACAUUGCCUCUUAUUUAUAAUCACUUUUGUGGCGCCGAUUGUCUUCCACACAACGACAGCAGCCCUUCAGGUCACCAUUCAGACUGGCGUCUGCCUGGUCCGGGUCCUGGUAAGCUCCAUCCAGAUGAUAAUCGUCGACUGGAGGAUCACACUUUUGGUGUUAUUUUUCGUCGCGGAAUGGUUGCUGAAUUUACAAUUUGGCUGGUCUUCAAUUUCUUGAAGUCACAAGUCAAGCCCAGAAUUGAUGACGUAGAUGACCUUGACCUAUGUGAACAACUGUGCGAAAGACUACCGAGGAUGUUCUCACGACGUUGACGUAUGGGCUCACAGCAACUCUGUAUAAAUCUUUGUAUAGAUAUUUCGACUUUCUUCGAUGCACAGACCGGUCGUAACAUCUGUAUACUAGGUUUCAUAUCUUCCAAUUCAUAUCUGGGAGAUGGAGAUGCAAAGAAUUGACUCACAUUAGUCACAUAUGAUGAAGGGUUGUAUAAAUUAAAAAUCCUAUUUUAAUAUAAUGCAUAAAUGAAUAUAAUAUUUUCACUUGAUUUUCCUAUUGAUAUUCAUUUGCAUAUGUUAAAUAAAGAGUAAAAGUCAA